UGGCGAACGGGUGAGUAACACGUGGGCAAUCUGCCCUUCACUCUGGGACAAGCCCUGGAAACGGGGUCUAAUACCGGAUAACACUCCUACUCGCAUGGGUGGGGGUUGAAAGCUCCGGCGGUGAAGGAUGAGCCCGCGGCCUAUCAGCUUGUUGGUGAGGUAGUGGCUCACCAAGGCGACGACGGGUAGCCGGCCUGAGAGGGCGACCGGCCACACUGGGACUGAGACACGGCCCAGACUCCUACGGGAGGCAGCAGUGGGGAAUAUUGCACAAUGGGCGAAAGCCUGAUGCAGCGACGCCGCGUGAGGGAUGACGGCCUUCGGGUUGUAAACCUCUUUCAGCAGGGAAGAAGCGAAAGUGACGGUACCUGCAGAAGAAGCGCCGGCUAACUACGUGCCAGCAGCCGCGGUAAUACGUAGGGCGCAAGCGUUGUCCGGAAUUAUUGGGCGUAAAGAGCUCGUAGGCGGUCUGUCGCGUCGGAUGUGAAAGCCCGGGGCUUAACCCCGGGUCUGCAUUCGAUACGGGCAGACUAGAGUGUGGUAGGGGAGAUCGGAAUUCCUGGUGUAGCGGUGAAAUGCGCAGAUAUCAGGAGGAACACCGGUGGCGAAGGCGGAUCUCUGGGCCAUUACUGACGCUGAGGAGCGAAAGCGUGGGGAGCGAACAGGAUUAGAUACCCUGGUAGUCCACGCCGUAAACGGUGGGCACUAGGUGUUGGCGACAUUCCACGUCGUCGGUGCCGCAGCUAACGC
rnacentral:rRNA from 1 species